rnacentral:rRNA from 1 species
GCCUAACACAUGCAAGUCGAGCGGAUGAGAAGAGCUUGCUCUUCGAUUCAGCGGCGGACGGGUGAGUAAUACCUAGGAAUCUGCCUGGUAGUGGGGGACAACGUUUCGAAAGGAACGCUAAUACCGCAUACGUCCUACGGGAGAAAGCAGGGGACCUUCGGGCCUUGCGCUAUCAGAUGAGCCUAGGUCGGAUUAGCUAGUUGGUGAGGUAAUGGCUCACCAAGGCGACGAUCCGUAACUGGUCUGAGAGGAUGAUCAGUCACACUGGAACUGAGACACGGUCCAGACUCCUACGGGAGGCAGCAGUGGGGAAUAUUGGACAAUGGGCGAAAGCCUGAUCCAGCCAUGCCGCGUGUGUGAAGAAGGUCUUCGGAUUGUAAAGCACUUUAAGUUGGGAGGAAGGGUACUUACCUAAUACGUGAGUAUUUUGACGUUACCGACAGAAUAAGCACCGGCUAACUCUGUGCCAGCAGCCGCGGUAAUACAGAGGGUGCAAGCGUUAAUCGGAAUUACUGGGCGUAAAGCGCGCGUAGGUGGUUUGUUAAGUUGGAUGUGAAAUCCCCGGGCUCAACCUGGGAACUGCAUCCAAAACUGGCGAGCUAGAGUAGGGCAGAGGGUGGUGGAAUUUCCUGUGUAGCGGUGAAAUGCGUAGAUAUAGGAAGGAACACCAGUGGCGAAGGCGACCACCUGGGCUCAUACUGACACUGAGGUGCGAAAGCGUGGGGAGCAAACAGGAUUAGAUACCCUGGUAGUCCACGCCGUAAACGAUGUCAACUAGCCGUUGGAAUCCUUGAGAUUUUAGUGGCGCAGCUAACGCAUUAAGUUGACCGCCUGGGGAGUACGGCCGCAAGU